rnacentral:sRNA from 2 species
CUUUUGCGUUAAGGAUUGAAUUGGAAAUCCUUUUUGUUUUUCACAAAAAGAUUGCAACGGAAAGCCUGACCCGAA